rnacentral:rRNA from 1 species
UCUUCUGGACACCGAAGGAGGUUGGACUUUGGAGGCUUUGCUGGUCGUCUCUCUUUUGAAGGCCAGCUCCUCUUAAAUGAAUUAGCGGGGUCCUCUUUGCCGAUCCUCGACAUGUGAUAAGAUGUUUCCAUGUCUUGGCUUCUGGCUCUGUUGCUUUUGGGACCCGCUUCUAACCGUCUCAACCUUGCAUCGAGACAACGUUUGAGCACGUCUCCCUUCUCGGGAAACACUCUCAACCCCACGAACCCUUGACCUCAAAUCGGGUGAGACUACCCGCUGAACUUAAGCAUAUCAAUAAGCGGAGGA